rnacentral:rRNA from 1 species
GGAAGGAUCAUUAUUGAAUAAACAUGACAGGCUGUUGCUGGCUCUUCUGCAUGUGCACGCUUGUUGUCUUUAUUUCUCCACCUUGUGCAUCAUUUGUAGGCCCUAGAGAAAUAAUGAUUAUUUGGUCAGUCCAGAUAGGUUGAGGACUGCUGUGCAUCUUUCAUGAAGGGCAUCAGCUUUGCCUUGUCUCUAGGUUCUAUGUAGUCCAUGUACACCUAUGAAUGUGAAAGAAUGUUGAUCUGGGCCUUUAGUGCCCAUAAAGGUUAUAAUUACAACUUUCAGCAACGGAUCUCUUGGCUCUCGCAUCGAUGAAGAACGCAGCGAAAUGCGAUAAGUAAUGUGAAUUGCAGAAUUCAGUGAAUCAUCGAAUUUUUGAACGCAUCUUGCGCUCCUUGGUAUUCUGAGGAGCAUGCCUGUUUGAGUGUCAUUAAAAUCUCAACUAUGCUGGUGUUUCUGGUGUAGCUUGGAUUUGGGAGAUGAGGAAUACUAUUUGUAGUAUUCCUCUUGCAGGCUUUUUAUAGUUGAAGUCAGCUCUUCUGAAAUUUAUUAGUGGUGCCUUAGUAAGAACUGUCUACAGGUGUGAUAAUUUUCUGCGCCUUAGAUGUCUGAAUGCAUACGGCCAAUACUGCUUAUAACUUAUGAUGACAAUCUUGACCUCAAAUCAGUAGGACUACCCGCUGAACUUAAGCAUAUCAAUAAGCGGAGGAAAAGAAACUAACAAGGAUUCCCUUAGUAACUGCGAGUGAAGUGGGAUAAGCUCAAAUUUAAAAUCUGGCAGUCAUUGGCUGUCCGAGUUGUAAUCUAGAGAAGUGUUACCCGUGCUGGACCAUGUACAAGUCUCCUGGAAUGGAGCAUCACAGAGGGUGAGAAUCCCGUCUUUGACAUGGACUG